UUAAGUCAAAUUUGUAUGGAGUCGGAACGUUUGCCUACGUUUGCCGCUAGGGGCGCUGUUCCAACUGCAUAGUGCAUACAAUUUUCAGGUA
rnacentral:pre_miRNA from 1 species